UACGUAGGGGGGCAAGCGUUGUCCGGAUUUAUUGGGCGUAAAGAGCGUGUAGGCGGCCAGAUAGGUCGGUUGUGAAAACUGGAGGCUCAACCUCCAGACGUCGACCGAAACCAUCUGGCUAGAGUCCGGAAGAGGAGAGUGGAAUUCCUGGUGUAGCGGUGAAAUGGCGCAGAUAUCAGGAAGAACACCCGUGGCGAAGGCGGCUCUCUGGGACGGUACUGACGCUGAGGAGCGAAAGCGUGGGGAGCGAACAGG
rnacentral:rRNA from 1 species